GUGCCAGCCGCCGCGGUAAUACCGGCAGCCCGAGUGAUGGCCGAUCUUAUUGGGCCUAAAGCGUCCGUAGCUGGCUGCGCAAGUCCGUCGGGAAAUCCACCUGCCCAACAGGUGGGCGUCCGGCGGAAACUGUGUGGCUUGGAACCGGAAGGCGCGACGGGUACGUCCGGGGUAGGAGUGAAAUCCCGUAAUCCUGGACGGACCGCCGAUGGCGAAAGUACGUCGCGAAGACGGAUCCGACAGUGAGGGACGAAAGCUAGGGUCUCGAACCGGAUUAGAUACCCGAGUAGUCC
rnacentral:rRNA from 1 species